UCAUUUUCCGGCAACUCUAUCUGCGGCGCUUUCUUCCCGGGCGCGGCGCCGACGUUCAGCGAGCUGUUCUUGUAAUCCACCGGCUCCUCGUGCGCGAGCAGCACGAUGAAGUUGACUCACCAUUAAUAAGCAUCAGCUGCACUUCCUCAAAUGUUACACGUCCUCUACAUGUCAUUAAACGCCAUAAAGGGCAUGCUGCUACUGGGCAGGUGUUCAAACCAGGAAGAAAGUGUGUCAGGUCCUGUCAUGACACACUGCAGUGCCCCACCAAAGCUCGCCGCAGGAAGAUGUCACGUGCCCUCAAACAGGUUUUUACUACUGCACAAGUAGAAUGACUCAUUUGUGAUGAUCUGUUUUUACAGUGUUGUGAAGGGAUUUUAAUUAUGCACAUUUUGUUUACUGAGUAAUGCCUAGUUACGUUCACAGCCUCUCACCCAAAGUCAUCUACGACCUUUAAGAGGAAGUUAACUCUAACAUGUUCUUUACAAUAUGUUCCAGAGGAGUCUAAAUACAGCAUUGGGAUUAAUGUUGCACGCCCUUUAUUAUCCAUCUGGCGGCUGCCAUUUUGCCACUUUCUCAGAGCUCGCAUAACAACCAACCACGCCAACCUGGUAAGAUAAAGUAUCUGGGCUGACAAAACACCCCCAAGAUAUUUCGUCUUGAUUUGAUAUUUGAGUUAUACGUUACUUUUUGCUAGGUACAGUUUUACAUUUUCUCCAACACUUACUUUCACUGUUUUCCGAGUGAAUGAUGUGCGUGUUUGCGAUAUACUUGGGCAUAUUUUAAUGCUGGUGGCAGAUUGCAUCUCCCACAACAUGUGACCAUCCAUAGAGGAACUUCACCAGAUGGUCUCUCAAAGAGGGGCCAGCCCAGGCCAGCACACAGGGCUGAGGCCAAAGCUGCUGUCCCCAUUUUUUUGGACACUAUAAUCCCUUGAAACGAUCUCGUCGCAAAUGAUAGUGAAGGGUCUUCUUAGUGAUGCAACAAGUAACUGGGUCAGAUUGAUCCCACAAAAAGAAAUUUAAUUAAAAAAACAAACAUUUAUAAUGUGUGGGCGUUUAUUAAGAAUAAAAAUAAUUUAUUAAUAACACCAUGAAUAUUUCUCACUAUGCUGCGCUGCAAGCUGUAAUCCUUGUGUGGGCGUGCCCUACAUACAUGCCUUAACAUUUUAACCCCUUAAGAAUCACAAUUAAACGAACGCAUCAGUAAUUAUGCAAGUGGCCUCGAAGCAUAUUGCAAAGUAAAACUGCUAACAUGAAGUUUAUUCAAAAUGAGUAACAGGCAAACAAAAAGUGAUGUCACUGAAUUUGUUUUUGCACGUUUAUCCAGAUCAGGAUUAAAACAAGAAAGUGCCUCAGAACUGUGUACAUAUAGUUUCCAUCUAUCUGUGAGUUAAAUAUUUUUUGAAAAUGUGGUGCCAGUUCAAAAAAUUAAAAAAUUGACCAAUUAAAAAGAUUUUUUAAGGCAAAGUGAAAACGGUACUACAGUCAGCUAUCAUUUAGGUUUGGGUCUGAGUUAUAAAGAGUUGCUGCGCUCUAGUGGUAAUUGUGUUCGCAACAGCAACCAAUGAGCUUGCUCAGGAGUUUAGAAACAAAAUACUACUAAUUGAUGGGGCAAAACUACAUAAAAAUAAUUUCUCAGUGUCUAAGGAAAUGCAAUUUUUUUUUGGUGUGAUUUUGGAGAGAACUUGAGAAAAUGUUUUUUUUUUUGCCAUUUUUUAAAAUAAAUUAAACAUUUGGUGUUCAACUUAAAUUUCGAA